CGGGUGGAUCACGAUGCAAUUUUGAUUAGAGUAAUGGGAGAGAAAUUGCACGGUAUCCAUCUGUA
rnacentral:pre_miRNA from 1 species